rnacentral:rRNA from 1 species
GAUGAACGCUGGCGGCGUGCCUAAUACAUGCAAGUCGAGCGAACGGACGAGACGCUUGCUUCUCUGAUGUUAGCGGCGGACGGGUGAGUAACACGUGGAUCACCCCCCUAUAAGACUGGGAUAACUUCGGAACACCGGAGCUAAUCCCGGAUGAUAUUUUGAACCGCAUGGUUGAAAAGUGAAAGUCGGUCUUGCUGUCACUUAUCGCUGGAUCCGCGCUGCAUUGGCUAGUUGGUGAGGUCACGGCUUACCAAGGCAAGGAUGCAUAGACGACCUGAGAGGGGGAUCGGCGGCAUGGGAACUGGGACGCGGUCCAGACUCCUAAGGGAGGCAGCAGUAGGGUAUGUGACGCAGUGGGCGGAAGCAUGACGGAGCAACGCGGCGUGAGUGAUGAAGGUCUUCGGAGCGGAAUACUCUGUUACUAGGGGAGAACAGAUGUGUAAGGAACUGUGCCGAUAGUGACGGUACCUAAUAAGAAAGCAACGGCUAACUACGUG